UUACAAUCUGACGCUGUUGGUGCCUGCGCUGCCGUUCUGGCGGCGCGGUUCAACGGGAAGCAGGAAGGCCCCGGAACUUCGUUUCCAAAGCCCAACCUGCGCUGCCCCCGCAACGGUAAGCGGCAUGCGGCGCGGCCAGAACCUGUUCAGGGUUUUGAUCGCGCCGCAGCUUCGUUCCCACCCUCGCCACGGCCUUGGCGUGCCUGCUUUGCGUGCAGGCGGCGCGCCUGCCAGCCGGAAGGCCGGGCGCGAAGGCAAGCCGCCAGCCCGGAUACCGGCCAACAACAGGUGGCCCGC
rnacentral:ncRNA from 2 species